UACAGAGGUCUCGAGCGUUAGGCGGAAUCACUGGGCUUAAAGCGUGUGUAGGUGGAUCGGUAAGUACCUUGUGAAAUCCCACAGCUUAACUGUGGAACUGCUUGGUAUACUGCCAGUCUUGAGCCAGCUAGGGGCUACCGGAACAAAUGGUGGAGCGGUGAAAUGCGUAGAUAUCUGGAGGAACACCGGUGGCGAAGGCGGCAUCCUGGACCGAUACUGACGCUGAGGAGCGAAAGCCAGGGGAGCAAACGGG
rnacentral:rRNA from 1 species